GGGAUCCUCACCUUCACUCCCUAAAAACUUAGGCAACAUACUAAUGUGAUGUGCCUUAAUCUCGAAAUUAUUCCCAUUAACGGGAGGAAGGGUAAUGCACGAUGGUUGAGCGGAACGGGAUGGGUAACAGCGGUCUUUAAGAGACAACGCCAUGUUUACUAUCGGUUCGCUAGCUUCUAUGGGUUCGGAGUCCGAAGAGGACGAAGAAGGAAUUUCGAUGAUCGGUCUAACUAAUCUAGACGAUUCGCUCCUAACCCAAGUAGUUCGCAUAAACUAGAUAGUAAACACGUAGCAAAUAAGUGCGAAGAAAUAAAACAAACAAAAGAAAGGGUGUAAAAGUGAAAGAAAAACUUAAUUCUAGGGUUCCCUAAUAAAAAUGAACUAGACCUCGCUCCUAACGUUAAGGACCACCAAAAACUCGAUAAAUC
rnacentral:lncRNA from 1 species